rnacentral:piRNA from 2 species
UGAAGUGACUCCCCGGAGAGCAGAGGU